rnacentral:tRNA from 1 species
CGUCGACCAGCGUGCGGAAACGCGGGCUCGUUUCGGCCGUGCCGGUGAGGCUUGCGGAAUCGCCGGUCACCAGGUCGCGGCCGGCCCCGGCGUC